CUUGGCGUAAAGGUAAAUAAAAACAUGUUGUGACGUAAUGCGGAAGUGAUAUCGGUUGCUUGAAAAAUGGAUUUUUGUCAAAUUACAGUGAACAAGUUAUUGUGAGAUAGUCUGAUUACUUUGGAGCUGCCAGAUUGUGUAUGAAAUCCUGAAAAAAGUAUUUCAACAACUUUUUCAUGAACCACAGAAACUUCACCUUACCAAAUUGUAGGACCAGACAUUGUGAGAAAGUUUGAUUGCAUUCAAGAGCUGCCAGAGCUAAAGCUAGAAAAGAAACUAAACAACUUCUUCUCAUGAUCUGCUUAAUUGAUCUUCACAUUGAAUUGUCAACCUGUAUGCUGACGUUGAGCAAAUAAAGAUACUGCAGUCAGCGUUACAACCUUUAUUAAACAGAAUGAAUUGGUGUUACAGAAAUGGAUAACAUAUGGAGACAAACACUUUCAGGCUACAGAAACUACACAUUGUUUGAGACUAUGAGAAUGGCUUAUUUUCAUGAUGGAACUCAUACCACAAAAAAGAACUUGCUUUAUCUUAUUUCUUAUAACUAGUCUUCAAAGACAUACCCAAGUAAACUACAACAGGAAUGAAAGCAAACAAAGUUGAUUCAGGAUUUAGAAUUGAAUGUUUUUGUGUCAACAGCGUGUGAAAACUGCGGAAAAUAGGAUUUUAAUUUCAAGGAUUUGAUUUAGUAUGUCAAGGAGUGAUUUGUUUUUAAUUCAUCACACAAGUUAUUGACAAUGCUCUAAAAUAUAAAUAGGAUGUGUAAAUACAGACUUUCAUACCUAACUAAAAUAAUGUUGAACUCAGCAGAAUAAACAAACUACCAUCUGUUGUAUAAUAUAUUAGUUGAUUUAUCAAGCUUUGUCAGUUUUGUUACAUUACUUAUCAUUGAUAGAAUCUAUUAUCUAAUAACUCUUUACAGUGUGUCAAGUACUUAUCAUUAUAAGCUAUUUUGAAAUAAUUACAGGACUGAUAUUUUACUGGUAUUAGUUAAAUGUGUUGUUAUUAGACCCCUUACAUUUGAAAGUGAGUUUUCUUUAUACAUACAGGAUUCUGCUAUUCCGUCUGUCGGCUAGUCCAGUCUGUCAGAUCUUUGUCCAGAAAUUACAUUUGAAAUAAAAUAUAGCAUCAUUUUCA